rnacentral:rRNA from 1 species
CCUACGGGUGGCUGCAGUGGGGAAUAUUGGGCAAUGGAGGAAACUCUGACCCAGCAAUGCCGCGUGAAUGAAGAAGGUCUUCGGAUUGUAAAGUUCUUUAAUCGGGGAAGAAUAAAAUGACGGUACCUGAAUAGUAAGCUACGGCUAACUACGUGCCAGCAGCCGCGGUAAUACGUAGGGAGCAAGCGUUGUUCGGAAUGACUGGGCGUAAAGGGUGCGUAGGUGGUUAUAUAAGGUAGCCGUGGAAUACCCCGGGCUUAACUCGGGCGCUCCGUCUAAACCUGUAAGACUAGAGUGCAGGAGGGGUUAGUGGAAUUCCUAGUGUAGCGGUGGAAUGCGUAGAUAUUAGGAGGAACAUCAGAGGCGAAGGCGACUAACUGGACUGCAACUGACGCUGAGGCACGAAAGUGUGGGGAGCAAACAGGAUUAGAUACCCCAGUAGUC